UUUCCGUAGGUGAACCUGCGGAAGGAUCAUUAAUGUGUUUGGGCCUCACGGCUCUUCAUUCCGACGCUGUGCGCCUUCGGGCUGCACGCUGAGGGAGCAUAUAUCCACCCCUGUGCACACACACGGCGGCGAGCUGGGUAACGGCUCGCCGCUGAUCUUUACACACGUCUAAAAGUCAUUGUAUGUUUAUUUGAGAUAAAAACACAACUUUCAGCAACGGAUCUCUUGGCUCUCGCAUCGAUGAAGAUCGCAGC
rnacentral:misc_RNA from 1 species